rnacentral:rRNA from 1 species
UACGGAGGGUGCAAGCGUUAUCCGGAUUUACUGGGUUUAAAGGGUGCGUAGGUGGGUAGGUAAGUCAGUGGUGAAAUCUUCAAGCUUAACUUGGAAACUGCCAUUGAUACUAUUUAUCUUGAAUACUUUGGAGGUAAGCGGAAUAUGUCAUGUAGCGGUGAAAUGCUUAGAUAUGACAUAGAACACCAAUUGCGAAAGGCAGCUUACUACACAGUAAUUGACACUGAGGCACGAAAGCGUGGGGAUCAAACAGG